UAAUUUUUUAUUUUUGUCAGAUCUUCAGGAAUCUUCUCAUAUAUGCGCGGUGCGAGAUAAUAAAAGUAUCUUUUUCCUAUUCUUUUCUUUGCUCUUGAUUUCUGGAGACCUCUAAGUUUUUUACCUACAUGACUAAUGUGAUGGUCCCAUUUCAAGUUGACAUCAAUUACUAUCCCGAGAUAUUUAAUGAAUUUUGUCUCUGGAAUCUUCAUUUCUGGAUUUAUUUCAAGAUGCCCUAUUGGACCCAAGGAAUAUGACGAAAAGGGCAUGUAUUUUGUUUUGUCAAGGUUUAAGAUCGUCCCAUGUAUUACCUCUGUAGUGUAUGGUGGUAUCAUCUGCGAAGCCAAUUAUACUGCUUUCACUUGUACAUCGGGACAAGCUAUUAAUGUACACUAAAAACAGAAGUGGACCAAUGACCGUGCCCUGAGGAACGCCGUCUAGAUUUUACGGAUGUACGGAUGUACAAGUUCCUUGUACAUAUUAUUUUUUUCAUUUAUUGAUUUUAAUGAGGAUGGUGUUAUCCAGG